rnacentral:rRNA from 1 species
GUGGGGAAUAUUGGACAAUGGACGCAAGUCUGAUCCAGCCAUGCCGCGUGAAGGAUUAAGGUCCUCUGGAUUGUAAACUUCUUUUAUAAGGGACGAAAAAAGGCUUUUCUAAGUCGUCUGACGGUACCUUAUGAAUAAGCACCGGCUAACUCCGUGCCAGCAGCCGCGGUAAUACGGAGGGUGCAAGCGUUAUCCGGAUUCACUGGGUUUAAAGGGUGCGUAGGCGGGCAGGUAAGUCAGUGGUGAAAUCCUAGAGCUUAACUCUAGAACUGCCAUUGAUACUAUCUGUCUUGAAUAUUGUGGAGGUAAGCGGAAUAUGUCAUGUAGCGGUGAAAUGCUUAGAUAUGACAUAGAACACCUAUUGCGAAGGCAGCUUACUACGCAUAUAUUGACGCUGAGGCACGAAAGCGUGGGGAUCAAACAGGAUUAGAAACCCCUGUAGUCC